UAUUCAGACUUUAUUGACAAAUAUACACAUUACAAACAUAUAAAAUGCUGGAAGGAUCAACAUAUAACAAUCAUUCAAAGUGGACAGAAGGAUUUGAUCAGCAUAUUAUAAAUAUAAUAUAAUAUAAUAUAUAUUUAUAUAAAUCUCAAGACAAUUGCAUUUUGAUAAAUAUCAUAGGCAUACAUACUGGAUAAGAGAAUAUUGGAAGUUCCAAGCAUAACAAACCUAUUGCAAUUAAAACAAUUUAAUUUAACUUUCUGAUGAAAAAGGAUUUUUUGGCAAAUCAUUAAUUUUAAAUACCAUAAUGCUGUAUCAUUGGCAAACUAUCGGUUUACUAUGAGCAAUUAUCAAAUUGUGUAUUAACAAAAUGAUUUGGCCAGAUUCCUCGAUAAAGGUAGAUGUUAGCACCUUAUGAAUCAAACAGUAUAAAAAGAAAUUAAACUAAUAAAUAAUAGCAAAAAGUACCAACAAAUAAUUAAACCCCUAGCUGUUGAAGUUCUCUUUUUGAAUACUGUAAAAGGACUUUUAUUCAUUGGUAUAAAUUUUUGUGGUUUGAUCAAAAAUUAUAUGUUUGCAGGUUCUUAAAAUCAUUUUAGUUUUCUGAUGAAAAAAAUCAAGUUAAGAAUUUGAAGCCAUCAGAAACAAAGAUUUUGAAAAUAAUCAUUUGUUGUUAUACAUAUAUAAUGAUUUGAAGAAAAUUGCAAAAUAAGAUGUUCAUUUGUCACAACUUACAGACUUACUUGUUUAUCUUCCAUUAAAUUCAUCAAAUCUUUUAUAAAAAUAAUUG
rnacentral:lncRNA from 1 species